GUUAUCUUAUAAGCAAAUCAUCAAAACAGGAAAAAAAACAAGAACUAACAAGUCCUUUGCCCUCUUAAAAAUUGGAAAACGAUAAUCCAGUCAUUGUAAACAGUGUUUCGCCAAAUGUCAUACAAACAAAUUGAGAUGAGCGUAUUGGAAUAAUACCAGAGAACCAGAGAAGAUAACUCAGAAAACAUUGUUAUACUACUUCGAUUCAUUGGAAAAUAAAAUGUAU